AUUUUCAUCAAUUUUACUUUUAGAUCUAAAAAAAAAUUAGAUCUAAAACUUAUUUCAUGCAUGUUAGAAAAUUUGGCUUUGAUACCAUUAUUAGAUUUCUAGGUGAUUUGCAUGCAGAUUUUUUCAUCUUAUAAAAAUAUGCAGUGGAAAGAUAAAAUUAAAACUAUUUUAAUUUUAAUCAUGCUUCGAUCUAAUCCUACAAUUAUCUAGGGAUCUUUUUAAGCAUGUUAUGAAAUAAAUAUUUUAGAUCAGAUAUAAAAAUAAAUUAGAAAAGAAGAAUGAUUACCUUAAUCGCUAUCCUUUCUUCUUACUC
rnacentral:lncRNA from 1 species